rnacentral:pre_miRNA from 1 species
AUCACCCUGGGAUCAUGGUAAAAUGCAGAUUCUGAUUCAGUAGGUGGGAGGAAUAGCCUGAGAGUUUGCAUUUCUAACAAGCUCCCAGGUGAUGUAGA